GUCGUGUUUUUCUCCAACUGUCAAUGACUGGUUUGCACUAAAUCUAUCGUAUGUUGGUUGAGUGCUAGAUACAAGAUUUUUUAAACUAAUAGUUAUUGGCUUUGAGAUAGUUCAGUAACUGUGAUAACUCUCAGAUUUGUACUUCAAUCUUUUUGUUUUUUGUUCUUACCUUGGUAGAUGUAUUUCUCUGCUUCGAUCUGACGAAUUUAGCCUUUUCAUUAUGCCCCACCUAUAAUAGUAGAGGGGAAUUAUGUCUUCUGGUCUGUGCUUCCGUCUGUCCGUUUGUUAGUUCCGCUCCAGGUUAAACUUUUUGGUCAAGGUAGUUUUUUAAUGAAGUUGAAGUUCAAUCAACUUGAAACUUAGUACGUAUGUUCCCUAUGAUACCCUACCGUACAAUCACCACUUCAGGUGAGGGAUUGUGCCUGAUAUUCAUAUUCAUCUUUCAAUCAGUUUAAUUGAGGUCUGGAGCUGGCAUGUAAGUAAACUGCUAGUAGCGUGUUGUUAUUUAUGUAUUAUUGUCAUUUUAUUUCUUUUCUUUUGUUACAUCUUGACAUCGGACUUCUCUUGAACUGAAUUUUAAUGUGCGUAUUGUUAUGCGUUUACUUUUCUACUUUUGCUAGAGGUAUAGGGUUGAGAUCUCAUAAACAUGUUUAACCCCGCCACAUUAUUUAUGUAUGUGCCUGUCCUAAGUCAGGAGCCUGUAAUUCAGUGGUUGUCGUUUGUUUAUGUUACAUAUUUGUUUUUCGGUCAUUUUUUUUAUAUAAAUAAGGCCGUUAGUUUUCUCGUUUGAAUUGUUUUACAUCGUCUUAUCGGGGCCUUUUAUAGCUGACUAUGCGGUAUGGGCUUUGCUCAUUGUUGAAGGCCGUACGGUGACCUAUAGUUGUUAAUGUCUGUCAUUUUGGUCUCUUGUGGACAGUUGUCUCAUUGGCAAUCAUACCAUAUCUCCUUUUUUAUAUUAACCCCGCCGUAAUUUUGCGCCUAUCCCAAGUCGGGAGCCUCUGGCCUUUGUUAGUCUUGUUUGAUUUUUAAAUUUAGUUUCUUGUGUAUAAUUUGGAGUUUAAUAUGACGUCCAUUAUCACUGUACUAGUAUAAAAAAAUUUAAGGGGCCAGCUGAAUUAAUUAUUAGGAAAGGUAUCUUGGGAGUAUAGCAUAAACUUGCAAGUAUUAGUGAC
rnacentral:lncRNA from 1 species